UGGCGGACGGGUGAGUAAUGUCUGGGAAACGUGCCUGAUGGGGGGGGAUAACUACUGGAAACGGUAGCUAAUACCGCAUAACGUCGCAAGACCAAAGAGGGGGACCUUCGGGCCUCUUGCCAUCGGAUGUGCCCAGAUGGGAUUAGCUAGUAGGUGGGGUAAAGGCUCACCUAGGCGACGAUCCCUAGCUGGUCUGAGAGGAUGACCAGCCACACUGGAACUGAGACACGGUCCAG
rnacentral:rRNA from 1 species